rnacentral:lncRNA from 1 species
UCUCCCAUCUUCUCUCAACCUCCCAACCAAACUAACAAUCACCAGAAGAGAGAGUGGGCAGCGACUGUUCGGCGGCGGUAGAGAGAGAGCGCGGCGACUGUUCGAGCAAGGCGGCGCCGCCGCCACUACGGUGACGAUGAUGAUGAUACGCGAUAAAGAUGAUGAUACGAGAUGGCGAAGAUGGUGAUAUUGAAGAUGAUGAUGACUGUGGUUGACCGAUGACCAAUCCCCGACGGCGCCGGUAGUAGUGGUGAUGCGGGGGUUAUGGUUUUGAUGGAAGUAGUCUU